rnacentral:rRNA from 1 species
GACGAACGCUGGCGGCGUGCUUAACACAUGCAAGUCGAACGGAAAGGCCCUGCUUGCAGGGUACUCGAGUGGCGAACGGGUGAGUAACACGUGGGUGAUCUGCCCUGCACUUCGGGAUAAGCCUGGGAAACUGGGUCUAAUACCGGAUAGGAGCCAUUUUUAGUGUGAUGGUUGGAAAGUUUUUUCGGUGUAGGAUGAGCUCGCGGCCUAUCAGCUUGUUGGUGGGGUAAUGGCCUACCAAGGCGGCGACGGGUAGCCGGCCUGAGAGGGUGGACGGCCACAUUGGGACUGAGAUACGGCCCAGACUCCUACGGGAGGCAGCAGUGGGGAAUAUUGCACAAUGGGCGCAAGCCUGAUGCAGCGACGCCGCGUGGGGGAUGACGGCCUUCGGGUUGUAAACUCCUUACGCUAGGGACGAAGCUUUUUGUGACGGUACCUAGAGAAGAAGCACCGGCUAACUACGUG